GCUCAGAUUGAACGCGGGCGGCAGGCUUAACACAUGCAAGUCGAGCGGUAGCAGGGAGAAAGCUUGCUUUCUCCGCUGACGAGCGGCGGACGGGUGAGUAAUGUCUGGGGAUCUGCCUGAUGGAGGGGGAUAACUACUGGAAACGGUAGCUAAUACCGCAUAACGUCGCAAGACCAAAGUGGGGGACCUUCGGGCCUCAUGCCAUCAGAUGAACCCAGAUGGGAUUAGCUAGUAGGUGAGGUAAUGGCUCACCUAGGCGACGAUCCCUAGCUGGUCUGAGAGGAUGACCAGCCACACUGGAACUGAGACACGGUCCAGACUCCUACGGGAGGCAGCAGUGGGGAAUAUUGCACAAUGGGCGCAAGCCUGAUGCAGCCAUGCCGCGUGUAUGAAGAAGGCCUUCGGGUUGUAAAGUACUUUCAGUAGGGAGGAAGGUGUGCGUGUUAAUAGCACGUGCAAUUGACGUUACCUACAGAAGAAGCACCGGCUAACUCCGUGCCAGCAGCCGCGGUAAUACGGAGGGUGCAAGCGUUAAUCGGAAUUACUGGGCGUAAAGCGCACGCAGGCGGUUUGUUAAGUUGGAUGUGAAAUCCCCGGGCUUAACCUGGGAACUGCAUCCAAGACUGGCAAGCUAGAGUCUCGUAGAGGGAGGUAGAAUUCCAGGUGUAGCGGUGAAAUGCGUAGAGAUCUGGGGGAAUACCGGUGGCGAAGGCGGCCUCCUGGACGAAGACUGACGCUCAGGUGCGAAAGCGUGGGGAGCAAACAGGAAGAGAUACCCUGGUAGUCCACGCUGUAAACGAUGUCUAAGGAGAGGUUGUGCCCUUGAGGCGUGGCUUCCGAAGCUAACGCGUGAAAUCGACCGCGCUGG
rnacentral:rRNA from 1 species